rnacentral:rRNA from 1 species
UACGUAGGGCGCAAGCGUUGUCCGGAAUUAUUGGGCGUAAAGAGCUCGUAGGCGGCCUGUUGCGUCCGCUGUGAAAUCCCGGGGCUUAACCCCGGGCCUGCAGUGGAUACGGGCAGACUAGAGGUAGGUAGGGGAGAAUGGAAUUCCUGGUGUAGCGGUGAAAUGCGUAGAUAUCAGGAGGAACACCUGCGGUGUAGACGGCUUUCUGGACCAUUGCUGACGCUGAGACACGAAAGCGUGGGUAGCAAACAGG